rnacentral:rRNA from 1 species
CCUGAGGGUCAAAGGCGCAAGUCGCCUGUGGAGGAACCUGCGUUCGAUUAGCUAGUUGGUGGGGUAAAGGCCUACCAAGGCGAUGAUCGAUAGCUGGUCUGAGAGGAUGAUCAGCCACACUGGGACUGAGACACGGCCCAGACUCCUACGGGAGGCAGCAGUGGGGAAUAUUGGACAAUGGGCGCAAGCCUGAUCCAGCAAUGCCGCGUGUGUGAAGAAGGUUUUCGGAUUGUAAAGCACUUUCAGCGGGGACGAUGAUGACGGUACCCGCAGAAGAAGCCCCGGCUAACUUCGUGCCAGCAGCCGCGGUAAUACGAAGGGGGCAAGCGUUGCUCGGAAUGACUGGGCGUAAAGGGCGCGUAGGCGGUUGACACAGUCAGGUGUGAAAUUCCCGGGCUUAACCUGGGGUCUGCAUUUGAUACGUGGCGACUAGAGUGUGAGAGAGGGUUGUGGAAUUCCCAGUGUAGAGGUGAAAUUCGUAGAUAUUGGGAAGAACACCGGUGGCGAAGGCGGCAACCUGGCUCAUGACUGACGCUGAGGCGCGAAAAGCGUGGGGGAGCAAACAGCAUUAGAUACCCUGGUAGUCCACGCUGUAAACGAUGUGUGCUGGAUGUUGGGUGACUUUGUCAUUCAGUGUCGUA